rnacentral:rRNA from 1 species
UACGAAGGGGACUAGCGUUGUUCGGAAUUACUGGGCGUAAAGCGCACGUAGGCGGAUUAGUAAGUCAGGGGUGAAAUCCCGGGGCUCAACCUCGGAACUGCCUUUGAUACUGCAAAUCUCGAGUCCGAUAGAGGUGGGUGGAAUUCCUAGUGUAGAGGUGAAAUUCGUAGAUAUUAGGAAGAACACCGGUGGCGAAGGCGGCCCACUGGAUCGGUACUGACGCUGAGGUGCGAAAGCGUGGGGAGCGAACAGG